rnacentral:misc_RNA from 1 species
CGACGCUUGGUUAUCCAGCCAUGUGAUGCAGGUUCUGUCAACUUCCCAGAGAGGAUUUAAGGAUGAAUAAGAUUCUUGCUUUUUGAUGCUUCUUAGUUUUGUUUUCAGGAGCUCGUGGAGAGGUCCAAUGGUGUAGAUUUUAGGGUAGCGAGUGCGUAACGGACACAGUAUUGGUGCUUCUAGGUCUUCGAAAGUAUUGAGAAUGAGUGCUUGGGAUUCUCGUAUCUCGUUUGUGAUCAUCAAGAGUUUAGGGUCAGCUAAGUCGUU